UACGGAGGAUCCGAGCGUUAUCCGGAUUUAUUGGGUUUAAAGGGUGCGUAGGCGGCCUUUUAAGUCAGCGGUGAAAGUCUGUGGCUCAACCAUAGAAUUGCCGUUGAAACUGGGGGGCUUGAGUAUGUUUGAGGCAGGCGGAAUGCGUGGUGUAGCGGUGAAAUGCUUAGAUAUCACGCAGAACCCCGAUUGCGAAGGCAG
rnacentral:rRNA from 1 species